rnacentral:rRNA from 1 species
GACGUAGGGCGCGAGCGUUGUCCGGAUUUAUUGGGCGUAAAGAGCGUGUAGGCGGUUAGGUAGGUCCGUUGUGAAAACUCGAGGCUCAACCUCGAGACGCCGAUGGAAACCAUCUAACUAGAGUCCGGAAGAGGAGAGUGGAAUUCCUGGUGUAGCGGUGAAAUGCGCAGAUAUCAGGAAGAACACCCGUGGCUAAGGCGGCUCUCUAGUACGGUACUGACGCUGAGACGCGAAAGCGUGGGGAGCGAACAGG